UGUGCCUGGAGUAGUACUGGUAAUAUUGGUGGCUUUAUUCAUGGAGGAAGUGAGAAUGAUUCUGGGCUUGGCAGGAAACAUUCAUUUGGGGGCGGGGGGAGGGGAAAGUCACGUGUGAAAAACAGUUUUCCUUCUUAGGUCACCCCUUUCAUAUUUUGUCUUCAUGGAGGUUUUCUCCACCCCUUCCCUUCUAGAGAAAAGGCAAAAGCAAGCCCUGCUUGAAGCAACCAGCCUUCCCAGCGGAGCAGAUGUCCCCGCCACUGCAGGGGGGAGACUUCAACACACCAACGCUACCAGUAGCGCUGCGGUUCGACGCUGUUGGGAACGAAACUCUCACCUCCGCGCUUCCAACAGAGCAACACAGCUGUGUUUCCUGGAAGAAUAUUGAAAGGCAAUUGGCAGUGGACAGAGAAGAGUCUGCUCCUCCUGGAUAUGGUGUCAGCUGCCCUCUCCUUAGCUGUCCUGUCAUGGCUGUCAGCCCUCAAUAUGGCUCCCCACACUCUGCAGGACAUGGGGACAGGACUUGUGGCCCUGCGGCCCUGCAAUGAGCUCACAGCAGCAUGGUCAUCCCAGGCCAGUUGACAUUAACAAAUACAAAGCUGAGUCUCACAAGUGAGGAGACAAUCAUAGUGGUCAUACUCACUGCAUAUCACAACAUGUCUGCCUUGGUCUGCAUGGCUCAGGUAGCAGGUCAGAGCAUCCUGGAAGAGCCUCACGCAGCCCUUUCACUGGUACAGUGCAGCAAGGAGGAGAGCAUUGUGUUGGCCAGCUGCCUGUGCUGUCCCCAUCCCUCAGAAGCCAUCUCCCUGCACUCAUCACCUGCUCUUCAUCAUCAAAAAGGCUAAAGUAAUUUGCAGGUCUCUGACUGCCCCCAGCCCUCCCCUUCCUACCAGACCCAGACCAUACUGUCAUUCCAGAGGGUGAAAUUUUCCUUUAUUGGAUGCUCUGUUAAUGGCCCUGAGCAAAGAAACCUCUCUGGGGCUCCAGGAGGAGGGAAGGGAGGGAGGUGUUGCAUCGCAUCUGCAGAACAGCAGCCUCCCUCCCCUAGACACAGCCACCCUUGCCAGCCCAUCCCCAGCUCCAUACAGACAUCAGGACCAACCUCAGAAAUGCACAUGGACCUCCACAGCGUUCAACUUUACACCUGAACCCCUUCUACAUAAGCAAGAGCUCUGUUAUCUGUACUCUUGUCAGAGAAAGAAGCUGUGUUGCAAAUGAAAGUGCUGAUAAGGAGGGCUUUAUCUUUCCCCUGGUUAUUUUGUGAUAAGAUUUGUUGCUUGCAGGCACACCUUUCUCACUGGCUGCCAAAGAAGCCAAUUAGAGUGACAGCAGCUCUGAGACAGGUUGCAUGGUACCCACCUGUACCUUCAGGGUGACUCCAGGACUUCACGGCCACCAAAGGCAUCUGGAGACUCAUUGUUACUGGUGUCAGCGAGAUGUUACAUCUGCUGAGACACAGAGCUUGCAGGGCUCUGGGACAGCAGCAGUGGCAGCAGUAUCUCCAGAGCCAAAAAAAAUCCAUGAAUUCCCCAAACUGAGGGUGACCUCAGGGCCUGGCCAGCCCUGUGCUCUGGGAGAAGGCCCUUGGUAAGUCAGAUAGUGGCAAUAGAGACCUCCCCCCCAAGAAGAGAAAGACCCUCUGUGUCAGGAUAUUACAGGAAUGUAAGAGAGCCACCCCCUGUGCCACGCACAAGAGAGGAGGCCAUAAGACCCAAAAUGUCGAAGAGAGAGACAGCACCCCAUUCCUUCCUGGCUUGAGGAGAAAUCCUGUGUGCGUGGUGGGACAGCCAGGGACACAGCAGCUGUGCAGAGUGGCUCCUGUCUUUGCCCCAGAUAGCAUUCCCUUGACAAAAGUUCAGCCAAGUUUCAGCCUGUCACACUUGGCUGUUUUCAACCAUCUUUUGUUUGCCUAAUGCUGCAGCUCAGCAAGGUUGGAGUGAGGCUGCCCCAAAAUUGAAAACUAAAUGGUUUCCAGGCUUUAGGAAAGCAAGCUGCUUGCUGGGGAGGAAAACAGACUGUGAGAAAGCCCUUCGGACUGAAGAUAAUAAUGCAAGGGCUCAUAGGGGUUAUCGGGUACAGGAAAAACCCCAAGCUGGGUAGCUCCAGUGAGCCAAAAGUGGCAGUGGGUUUCAGGUUCGCAGUCUUGCAUUUCUGCAGAUCAGAAAUGCCUUUCAGAGACAUGGAGAGAUGCUGGUCUGUAUGUUUAAACUGCAGUGUGGUGGGGCACCAUGCAUCCCUCCGUGAGACCACCACCCAGGUGAAACAGCCUGCUGGCAAGAGAGGGCAGGGGGGCUCAGGAGCUGCCGGCACUCCACUCCCAAAGGACUGCCUUUGUGCAAGCAACUACAUUCUUCCUCAUCAUAACUUGAAAGAAGCAUGGAAAGUGGAGUGACCAGGAAAGUGUAAACUUUAUUGUUCACAAGGAAGGAGCUGGCUCAAAUCACUCAGCAGGACUUAUCAGAGUUUGUCAGGCAAGAGUCAAAACAUGGAAAAAAAAGAGAUGAUUAAAAUAGAACAUGUUUGCUGUAA